UACAGAGGGGGCAAGCGUUGUUCGGAAUUACUGGGCGUAAAGGGCGCGUAGGCGGCCUGCUAAGUCGAACGUGAAAUCCCCGGGCUCAACCUGGGAAUGGCGAUGAAGACUGCAAGGCUAGAGUUUGGCAGAGGGGGGUAGAAUUCCACGUGUAGCAGUGAAAUGCGUAGAGAUGUGGAGGAACACCGAUGGCGAAGGCAGCCCCUGGGUCAAGAUUGACGCUCAUGCACGAAAGCGUGGGGAGCAAACAGG
rnacentral:rRNA from 1 species